CCUCGGGAGGCAGCAGUGGGGGAUAUUGCACAAUGGGGGAAACCCUGAUGCAGCGACGCCGCGUGUGGGAAGACGGUCCUCUGGAUUGUAAACCACUGUCCCCAGGGACGAAGAUGACGGUACCUGGGGAGGAAGCUCCGGCUAACUACGUGCCAGCAGCCGCGGUAAUACGUAGGGAGCGAGCGUUGUCCGGAUUUACUGGGUGUAAAGGGCGUGUAGCCGGGAAGGCAAGUCAGAUGUGAAAUCUGGAGGCUCAACCUCCAAAUUGCAUUUGAAACUGUUUUUCUUGAGUACUGGAGAGGCAGACGGAAUUCCUUGUGUAGCGGUGAAAUGCGUAGAUAUAAGGAGGAACACCAGUGGCGAAGGCGGUCUGCUGGACAGCAACUGACGGUGAGGCGCGAAAGCGUGGGGAGCAAACAGGAUUAGAUACCCGAGUAGUC
rnacentral:rRNA from 1 species